GGGAAUUCCAUCACCUUUUUUCUCCAAUUCCACCAUACACAUUACACACAUUACAAACUCCAUCCACACUUUUUUUUGGAGAAAAAAGUCAGAUUAAUCGUUGCUGCCACAGAUGAAGAUCUUCAGCUGGAUUCGAAGCAAACGCAAUGGCAACGAAGGCAGCAACACGAAGCCCAAUCCACAACCAAAAUCACAUGAGAAGAAGAUCACCUGCAACGAAGAAUUCUCCGAUUGGCCGAACGCGCUGCUGGCGAUCGGCACAUUCGGAAACAACGCGAAUCCGAAAAAUCGCGACAAAGUGGAU